AGACCAAUGGCUCGAGCCGAGCGAAGCGAGACAGCGUCACGAAGUGACGACCCGAAGGGCAAGGCCGCAGGCCGAGUA
rnacentral:sRNA from 1 species